AGCUACUAUAAAAAAGUUGUCGCAAAGCGCAGUAAGGACCCAAGCUCCAUCGGUAGCUCCAUUUCAGCAUAGCUGCUAGACCUAUGUGGAUGGGUCAGAACAAGCAUGUCGACACUCAAACGCAACUCAAGCUCCUCACCGACGGUCACGAUCGAUAGAAUCGGCUCCAUCCACUUUCCUCAACACCUUUAGACCUUGAGAAGAGAUAAUCGACGGCAACGAUCGCCAGAGCCCUCCAAGGAGGACUCCACCUCGAGCUUGCACUGGCACUACCCCGG
rnacentral:lncRNA from 1 species